UUCUUUACAAUGUUUAUAGCUGUAUUUUUGCUAUUCCUUUGUGGACCAUUUCUUUGUUCUAAGUUCACAAUAUGUUUUCGACUUUAAAUAACAUACAUAGGCUUAAUGGUGAAUUUAUCUACUUCGGAUGUUUUCUGAAAUCAACUUUACUAUGCUGAAUUUAUAGGCUCUAAUUUGCUGGUUUUCUCUUAGGUUGCUAAUAAGUUGCUUCAUCAUGCAGAGCUACUGUUUAUGAACUUAAGCUCCUGAUCACAUCAAUUUGCUGUAGAAAACUACCUUCCAAAAGCCUUACUUGAAAUCAAGAGUGUGGAUGUGUUUUAAUUAUCAUUGUACAUGAAUUCCUGCAGGAAGCACUGUGUUCUACAUAAUGUUACAAUUCUCUCUGUUCUCUUCAAGAAUUGGAAACCAAGUGGUAUUACUCAUUUCUGCAAUUGAAGUCCUUGAAUCACAUCUCAAUUGUCUGCAGGUUACCCAAAAAAGCCCUCGAUUAUCUACCAAAAUGUUAUUGACUGCUUUCCCAUGGGAGGCCUGACUUCCUAGAAUUCAAUGGUGCAUAGAUGAUAGUUAGCAUUCCCAUUCUUUCAAGCUAUUAAUAAUUAUGGUUUAUUCUUUCAUCUUGAUGUAAUAUCUAAGUUCUUGGCUUUGUCAACCACAUGUAUGUAGGUUGUUUAACUAUGGCAUCGGCAUUCAUUUCCUUCACGCUAGAGACCCUGAGAAGCUGCCCCAGAUCAACUACAUUAACCCCAAAGAUAACCACAUGCAUUUCUUUCCAGCAUUGUUCUUUUACAUGGGCCUCCAGGCACUUGAAAAACUUCUUUAUGUAAAGCAUUGCCUCAUAAGCAACCAUCUGAUUCAACCCCAGGUGCCCAAGUCCUAAUUGCUUGCACUCAAUGCAUAUUCUCUAUUCAGCAAAUCUUUCUAUUUUGAAACACAUAUUUGACAAAGAACUCUAAGAAUUGCAGCUUUUGGCUUUGCGAUUUCAAGCAUAUCUGCCAUUCCGAUAAUCACCGUCGGCCUCAAUUCCAAAAUAACAUCAACUUUUGUAAUAUGUAAAUAACUAAAUGAUUAUUGU